rnacentral:rRNA from 1 species
UACGAAGGGUGCAAGCGUUACUCGGAAUUACUGGGCGUAAAGCGUGCGUAGGCGGUUUGUUAAGUCUGUUGUGAAAUCCCCGGGCUCAACCUGGGAAUGGCAAUGGAUACUGGCGGGCUGGAGUGCGGUAGAGGAAGGUGGAAUUCCCGGUGUAGCGGUGAAAUGCGUAGAGAUCGGGAGGAACACCAGUGGCGAAGGCGGCCUUCUGGACCAGCACUGACACUCAAGCACGAAAGCGUGGGGAGCAAACAGG